GGCUACAGCCAUGCCACCCUGAACACUUCCAAUCUCAUCUGAUCUCGGAAGCUAAGCAGGCUCGAGCCUGGUUAGUACUUAGAUGGGAGACCACCUAGGAAGACCAGGUGCUGUAGGAG
rnacentral:rRNA from 1 species